UGUCAAUGGAAAUCACUGAAUUAUCCUUGAAUUUGAAGAACUGUAACUGGUCAUAAACCAGAGUUUAGGAUAAGGGAUAUUUAAAGAUCAAGUGUCAUGAAAUGGAUGCUUUUUAGUAUAUUAUUAAUGAAAAAAAUGGCAACUGGUAUGGACCCAUCAGUUUUUUUCACCACAAAACAGGAUUUUGACAUAUAUGGCUUUUUGUAACUCCCGCCAUGAAAAUUCUUUUGGGAUUUGUUUUCGAGAAGAAGCAGGAAGUGACAUACGUGGGAGGAGCGCCCUCCAGCGGCCUCGUUUGUUUCUAUUAGUUUUACCUUCGGGAAGGUAGCUCGAUGUUCCUUAGUGUUAGCCAAAAUGCUGGCUUGUUGCAUUGCUGGAUAUUCCUCGAACACUCUGGAGGAUGGAUUUACCCUUCAUAAGUUUGUAAGAGACCCGGUUCAUCGUGAAAAAUUGAUUGCACAGGUGCAGAGGACGAGAGCUUCGUGGGUUCCAAAUGACAGCCGCAUCUUCUGAAUCUUAAAGGUGCCUAAUGAGGAAGCAGAAGACAAGCUUUGUCUACAGCUGGCAUAAGUCGCAGAAAGACCGGACGAGCGUAAGGGGCGAGAGCUUUUUGGACAACGGACAAGAAGGCCUCUGGGUCAAACUGGCCUCCUCCAUGUGCUAUUGCUGCCAUACCAGCCCUCCCCUCCACACCUGCAUUCACAAGUUGUGAUAAGAAAUCUAAAGCACGCAGUGUUUUCCUUCCUUUUGGCUCGAGACUAUUUUGUUGGUGGUGUAAGUAAGCACUGACGUGGUUUUGUGCUGUCUUAAGGUGUUCAUGUUGUGUUCUUAUUAAAAGCUCACUCAAUAGCUUUUUGUAUAUUUUGCUUGUAUUUCCUUCAUUUUGGUAGCAAAUAAUGUCUCGUUCAUUUUCUUCCCGGAUGACUGAGCAAGAGGCAGAGGCCAAUCACAGGCCUCAUACUGACAAACAGGAAUUCACUGCAUUGCCUCAGUAGACUACAUGGGGCAGGUCUUCAAAGAUUGGCUAUACGGCGACAUCAGUGUGUCCCAACAGGCCACUGAGGACCCCCUCCACCUCCGUGGUGGAAACAUUCUCCCCUCGCCAGCGAAAGGUGUCACCGCAGCGGUCUCUGAAGUACAUGUAGCCAUAAUCGUCCAUCACCAGUAUAUCACCUGAGAGAUGAUGAGGCAAGGCAAAUGAGGGCCACAGUUCAAGAGAGUCCUAUGUGAAGGGAGAAAAAUUGCAGCUAGUUGUUCAUCAGAAAGGAUUGGUGUUGAGAUACCCCUGAGCAAGGCACCAACUCCCUCUAAACUCUGGUGAGAUACAGAACUGAGUGCGCACUGUGUCAAUCUGACAUGUCUCCAUGCAUGCUUGCUUUUUGUCAUCUGGUUUUCUGUGGAGUGUCCAACCAAUUUAGGCCAGUGUAUACACCCUGCUGUUAAUGAUUUCCAAUUCUUUUAUUUAAGUUAUA